rnacentral:rRNA from 1 species
UCUUUGUGGAAACACGAGAGUGCUCGCAAGAGGAGCCUGGAGACAGGUGCUGCAUGGCUGUCGUCAGCUCGUGUCGUGAGAUGUUGGGUUAAGUCCCGCAACGAGCGCAACCCUUGUCUUUAGUUGCCAUCAUUAAGUUGGGCACUCUAAAGAGACUGCCGGUGUCAAACCGGAGAAGGUGGGGAUGACGUCAAGUCCUCAUGGCCUUUAUGACCAGGGCUACACACGUACUACAAUGGCAGGUACAAAGGGCAGCCACUUAGCGAUAAGGCGCGAAUCCCGUAAAACCUGUCUCAGUCCGGAUUGGAGUCUGCAACUCGACUCCAUGAAGUUGGAAUCGCUAGUAAUCGCAGAUCAGCACGCUGCGGUCGAAUACGUUCCCGGGCCUU